CAGGUUCCCGUUGCGGCGGGGUUCCCUCGGUUGGGAGGAAUGCCCCUGCCGAGGGCCCGCUGCCCAGGUAUGCACAAGUCAAGGCCUUUUCUGCAGACCAAGUAGCCUUCCCUGGAGAGCGCCCCCAGCACCACGGAAACUACCUACAUGCCCCGCGGUGGUCAGCCCGCCUUAUCCCAGCCCCGAGACCCAAAACAAGAAGCAUGGACUGAAUUUGAGGUUUCUGGAUGGUCGUGUGAACCGAGGGGACGGGUACUGGACUGACAAGAAAUGAGCCUUGAAGGUCAAUCUGGGUGACACCCGAGUCUCCUGAUGGAGUUUCACUAUGUUGCCCAGGCUGAUCUGGAACUCCUGACCUCAAGCAAUCCACCUGCCUCAGCCUCCCAAAGUACUGGGAUUACAGGAGGGAGCCACCGUGCCCGGCCUGGUCCUGUGCAUUUUAUAGAUAAGGUAACUGACAAACCUAGCCACAGUCACCCCUUCGCCCUAAAGGAGAACUGGAAUUUGAACCCAGAGCCUUCUUCACCACCAUCUCCGUUGUUUCUGGAAGCACCCUCCAGGCAGGCCAGCCAGCAUCACGGGGCCUCCCCUGGGGCUGGAACGUCUGCAGGAUGCCCCUUUGAGAAAUGCUGUUCCACAGAACCCUGCCUUUCAGGCCUUGGAGACGUGGGCAGGGGAGAAGCAGCGUCCCUCAGAGCCAGGCCUGGCAGUGGUGCUAGCAGGGGCCAAGGCCCAGGGAGCAGGGUCUCCUGUCGGAGGGACCUGGGCAAGCCCCUCCACGCGCCAGCGGGUUUCUCAGCAGGGGAGGUCCACACCACACCGCUUGGGAACCUGGGUGCCUAAACGCAACAGGAGCCAAGGCACAAAUUUAACCAAACACCAAGGUUGCGUGAGGCCCCAUUUCAUGAGCCGGGCUCCAAGGACGUGUCCUUAGGCGGCUCUGGAAGGCCCAGCGCCAGCCCCCGUCCUCUGUUAAAGGGAGCCAGCCCCGCGGCUCCGCCCAGGCAUGGUAGCCUGAGCGCGCCCCCAGGGUAGUAGGGGGCACCUGAGGAGCAGGGUCUGCCCUGGCAUGAGCAGAGCCCAGGAUGGGGUCAGGGUCAGGCCCUGCCAGAGGCUGGAGGGUGCCCAAGGCGAGGCCGGUGAGGCCCAGCUCUACAAAUAAAGUGUUUUAUUUACAGGA
rnacentral:lncRNA from 1 species